rnacentral:rRNA from 1 species
GAUGAACGCUGGCGGCGUGCCUAAUACAUGCAAGUCGAGCGAACGGACUAGAAGCUUGCUUCUCUGAUGUUAGCGGCGGACGGGUGAGUAACACGUGGAUAACCUACCUAUAAGACUGGGAUAACUUCGGGAAACCGUAGCUAAUACCGGAUAAUAUUUUGAACCGCAUGGUUCAAAAGCGAAAGACGGUCUUGCUUUCACUUAUAGAUGGAUCCGCGCUGCAUUAGCUAGUUGGUAAGGUAACGGCUUACCAAGGCAACGAUGCAUAGCCGACCUGAGAGGGUGAUCGGCCACACUGGAACUGAGACACGGUCCAGACUCCUACGGGAGGCAGCAGUAGGGAAUCUUCCGCAAUGGGCGAAAGCCUGACGGAGCAACGCCGCGUGAGUGAUGAAGGUCUUCGGAUCGUAAAACUCUGUUAUUAGGGAAGAACAUAUGUGUAAGUAACUGUGCACAUCUUGACGGUACCUAAUCAGAAAGCCACGGCUAACUACGUG